rnacentral:rRNA from 1 species
AUGGGGCGAUGGGUCGGGUCAAAGGUGAUGAAUCAAUUAACGGACGGAGCAGACAAGAGGAGAGGAACAGAAUCACGAGAGGGGCCGGCCGAUGCAUCAUGCUGGUGCUACGUACUGGUACAGCCGCGGCACCAUCCCUGUCUCGCCAACUUUUGCUUCCUCACCCCCGCAAAAAAAAAAAAAAAAAACUUUUCCUUGCUCACAGUCGGCCUCUGUGCUCUGCAGUGCCGCGCCUCCUCGAUCUUGUCAAAAAGGCUUCCCCUUCCCUUCCACGACGCGACGCAAGCCCGGCCUGCCCCCGUACCCUAUAACCAAGGCGGCAUUGCAUUUGCAUUCCACCUACCUACAACGAAUUUGGCGGAGGAAGAAGCGGCAAGGCAAGGCAUGAAGGAGGCGGCGGCGGGGGUGUCCCCGUGCGCGGCGUGCAAGCUGCUGCGGCGGCGGUGCUCGCCGGGGUGCGUGUUCGCGCCAUACUUCCCGUCGGGGGAGCCGCACAGGUUCGCCAGCGUGCACAAGGUCUUCGGCGCCAGCAACAUCAGCAAGCUCCUCCAGGAGAUUCCGGCGGAGCACCGGGGCGACGCGGUGAGCAGCCUGGUGUACGAGGCGAACGCGCGCGUGCGCGACCCCAUCUACGGCUGCGUCGGCGCCAUCACGUCGCUGCAGCGGCAGGUGGAGUCGCUGCAGACCCAGCUCGCGCUGGCGCAGGCCGAGAUGGUCAGGCUCAGGAUGGCCAACGCCUACGGCGGCGGUGGGAGCAGCGCCAGCGGCUCGCCGUCCUCCAUGUCGUCGCCGACCAAGGCCACGCCGGACCAUCACCACAUGGCGGUCGACCAGCCCGGCGUGAUGGAGCUGGAGCUCGAGUGCUCCAGGUUCUGGUCCUUCUGA